rnacentral:lncRNA from 1 species
CGGGAAUUAGAGAAAGCAGCAGGAAAAACGAAGGCCUUUUUAAGUUCCAUGAGAACUACGGUUUGCAAGACUGGUCAAAACAGUACAAUGCAAGCGGCAAGAAUCAGGAAGUGCACAGAAACAAGAAGCUCGGUGCACACUGGGAUCAGGCAAGCAUCUGGGAGAAGACUGUAGCAAGACUGGAUCCUGAGUGCCUGACAUGUGGCCAGAUCCCAGAAGAUGAGUUUAGCAAAG